UGGGGGUGAAGGGAAGCUGGCUAAACCUACCCAAGAGACUGGCUGCUCCGUCCCUGGGCCUCACCUUGCCUUCCUGCAAGAUGCUCAGUAGACCGUCCCAGAACAGGGUCUCCUUGAUGGAGAACCCCCAGGAGUCACCAGGACAGGCUGUCCCAGCAAUAUGUGGGAUCAUGGUGCCCUGAUCAGGGAUUGAACCCUCAUCGCCUGUAUUGGAAGCCCAGAGACAACCACUGGACCACCAGGGAAGUCCCUGGGACAUCAGCAUUUUCCUGUCUUCAGACUUGACCUGAAGCAUCAGCUCUUCCUGAGUCUGGAGCCUGCCUGCCUUCAGACAUGAAUGGUUGUAUCCAGCCUUGUCCACUGGAGCUUUGUUCUAAAAUAUCCACUGGAUGCCUGAAACUGCAGCAUUAUCAGUAUUUAUAAAGAAAUUAGAAAAAGUUGAUAACAUGACAAGACUCUUCCAGUAAAAAGUAGAGGACAACGCUCUUUGGGCACGAGGAGGGUGACGGGUAACACGUGGCAUCGUGACCAGGACAGACGGGAGGCCAGCUGCAA